rnacentral:rRNA from 1 species
UACGAAGGGGGGCUAGCGUUGCUCGGAAUUACUGGGCGUAAAGGGAGCGUAGGCGGGUCGUCAAGUUGGGGGUGAAAGCCCAGGGCUCAACCUUGGAAUUGCCUUCAAAACUGACGAUCUAGAGUAUGGAAGAGGUAAGUGGAACUCCGAGUGUAGAGGUGAAAUUCGUAGAUAUUCGGAAGAACACCAGUGGCGAAGGCGACUUACUGGUCCAUGACUGACGCUGAGGCUCGAAAGCGUGGGGAGCAAACAGG